AACGUAGGAGACAAACGUUAUCCGGAGUUACUGGGCGUAAAGGGCGUGUAGGCGGUCUGUUAAGUCUGGCGUGAAAGCUCUCGGCUAAACCGGGAGAGGUCGUUGGAUACUGGCAGACUAGAGGACGGUAGAGGCGUGUGGAAUUCCGGGUGUAGUGGUGAAAUGCGUAGAGAUCCGGAGGAACACCAGUGGCGAAGGCGACACGCUGGGCCGUACCUGACGCUAAAGCGCGAAAGCAUGGGGAGCAAACGGG
rnacentral:rRNA from 1 species